AAAAACAAAGCAAAUUUACGCACUAGCAACAAGUAAUAUAAUCCCCCUUCACAAUAGUCUGUCUGCCGUACAUUUGUUCUCUUUCAUUUGUGUGCAGGACCAGCUGACCUAGUUGAUGAUGUGACUGGUGGACUGAAACUUUUAUAGUUGCAUAAUCAGAAGGUUGAGAUUCCUUUGCUACGCCUACAUUAUUACUCAGCUUCAAACAGGAAAAUGCGGAUAAACUUCUUGAUGGUGAUGAUGAUGACAAAUUUAACAUGCAGACGGCGAUUUUAUCAGACAUUUUUAUUGUUGCUUCAAAAUUUUCAGGCAAAUGAACUGUAGAUUGUGACCUUACAUGCUGCUUGUUACCUUAUUGUUUUUGAAGGCUUUGGACGCUUUGCAUUAAUAGAGUGUGAAGCAGUAUGUAGUUUUCAGAAUGAACUUUAUAAUCAGUACUGCUGAUCUUUCUUCAAUGUUGCAUGAAAUGGUACUAUUACUUUUUGGCGUUUGGGCUUUUGGGUUGUUAUUUAUUUCUAAUUAGUUCUUGAGUCUAAUUUUUCGAGUAUUACUUUGCAAAUACGAAUGAACCUCAAUUAUGUACAUGGAUUUCCAAUUAUGUAUAUUAUACUAUUAUAAAGAAAUUUCAAUUUAAAUUAAUAUCAAUGGUAAAUUUAUAAGUUAAGGAGAAAUAAAUGUCAAGCAAAUUAAAAUCAAUAAAGUAAAAUUAUAUCAGUAGUUCAUUAGGCCCUCAAUUAACCAUCAAUCUUUAAAUUUUAAAUUUCUCCAUUUUUUUUUCAUUUUCGUAGACGAAGCACUUUUUUCCCAUUGUCAUAUAGUAAUAUAUUUUGAAUAAAAUAUGUAAUAUAAGUCAAUGAUAAAAGAUUAUAAAAUUACCUUUAAUUUAAUACGUAAAAGACAAAUUUAAAAUGAACAAGUUAUUAUAAUUUAAAGUUCAACAUAUUAANAGUGGCUAACGCAUAAAGAGAGAGGGGUGAAAGAGAGAGAUAAAGAUGAGACGAGAGAGAGGCAGGCAAAGCUUACAGGUGGCAGUGACAACAUGAAAUGAAGGGAGAUGGACGGUAGAGCUGUUAAAAUUGUUAUAUGAAAUGAGUGCGCUGCCUAAGUGACAGAGUGGUUAAUGCAUAGGUCAAUAAUUUUGGGUUUGAAUCUAUAGCGGUGCGAUCUUAAUUUUUUUAUUUAAUAAUAUUAAUCUAUUACAAAAAAUAAAAAUUAUUUUUAUCAUAUAAAAUGAGGUAGAAUAGCCUAUUGUUUCAAAGAAAAUGAGGGGUCUAAGUAAAGGAUCGUUUGACUCUAUUCCAAAACUUUAGCAAAUUUAAGUAAGGGAAACCGCUCAAAACUGCGCAAAGCCAAACAGCGUCCUAUUCCCAGCCUGAAAUCUGUGAAUUUCCAUUUCCCCAUUACUUCUCUGUCCUCUCUCAUAGGCUAAAAUCUUCUUCUCCGCACCGAGACGCCGUCGUAUCUUUCCCCCUCUAGCUCAGGAGUCUGGACACACUCUUCAUCAUGACAGUAACAGGUCUCUCCCUUUAUCUCUCUCUCAAUAUAUUGUGAAUAGUAGAAUACUGUAUAGUGUAUACAGUAUACUAGUAGUAAUUUCCAAUUAUGUUUGUAGUUUCCUUUUUGUAAUAACUGUUUUCCUAUGUUGUGUCUGUGAUUUAUAUAUUGUAGAAAUUUGUUUUACGAAAUGGUGAUUUGAAUGCAGUGCAGAGUGCUGCGAUGGGGUUUGAUAUGAUAGGGAUGACUUGGCUUAGCGUAUUCUUAAUUGGGGCGGGCUGUUUUGCUCUAGGAUGCCUAAUCGGUGCCCGGCGUUCCUACCACGCCGCUUUGCGUUUGUCAAAAUGUGCUGAGGUUAACGAUGAAGGGAGGAAGAAGGUUAAUCGGGGUAAACCACAGCUCGAGGUUGAAAAACUAGCUGAAAUUAUCGACGAUUUUAAGAUGGUAUAGUUGUAGUUUCUGUUGUGUGUGUGUGUGUGUUGGGAGAAUUAUGACGCUUAAUAUUAUGGUGUUGUGUGGUUUGAUGAUUGAGUGUAGGUAUUGGUUGUGAGGAAUGACCUGAAAAUGGGGAAGGGGAAGAUUGCUGCCCAAUGCAGGUGAGAGUUUCCAUGAUGAUUGAUGAAAACGCCAUGUCAUUUUUUCAUUCUCUCUAUUGAUUGCGUGAAUGGUUUUUUUGUGAAUGUGUUGUUGUUUGUAGCCAUUGAUCAUUAUCUGGUCUUUGACUAAUAAUGUCUUUGAAAUAUGUUCUAAUUUUUUUAAUCUUCUUAUAUAAAAUAGAAACACAGGCACUACCUCUAUAGAACAGAUUGCUUAAGUUGGAUGGGGAAAAUAGAAUUAGAGAAUGUUUAUUGUGUUGGUACUCAUCUAAUGUAGAGGUUGUUAGUAGGAGUUGAGUUUUGGGAUGAAAAUGACAGUAUAUAUGUCUAGAUAUUCAUUUGAGUCCUGAAUAUGUGUCCUGAUCUAUCUUUGUCUUAACAAAAUUUGACAUGCGGUUGCCUUCUAGUGACAUUCCCAUAUUUCAUUCUGACCCAAAUUAAAAUAACUUUCCGGUUGUAGCCAUGCAACUUUGGGGCUGUACAAGAAAAUCCUGAACCGAGCACCAAAAUCUUUAAGCAGGUACAUGUAGGCCUAUUGGAAAUGAUUCUCAAGUUCCAAUAUGAUUAGUUGUACAUAUAUAUUUACAGCUUUGAAUUCACCUUUAUACAGAUGGGAAAUGUGUGGGCAGGUUAAGGUGGUGGUGAAAAUUGAAAGUGAAGAUGAUAUGCUUGUUCUACAGGUCACACUGGCAUCUCAAAUUGUUGUAUUGCCUUAUCAUGGAAUGCAUAUGUUUUAGCUUUAUAGCAUCAACCCUGAAUAUAAAUUAAGCUGCACUGCUUUGUUGCAGGCUAGCAGCAAGAAUGAUGCAGGCAACUAUACAUGAAAUACUAUUAUUAUUGUUAUGAAGAACACAGCAGUAGAUUAUUCCUUAUAAUUAAAUAGCAACAUAAUAAUAAUGUACAGAUGGUCAUUUACACGUUGUAGAAAGGAAUAAGAAUGCAGAAAAGUUCAAACCUCAUUUGAGGAAUCAAUAUAUCCUCUAAAAUAUAAGCUUCCUGUAGUUGAAGAAUCCACCUCUUAUGUAUAGCAUGGGAUAUUUCAUCCUAUCUGCUACUGCACUUGCUCUUUGAAAUUAGAAACAUUGUAAUUGAUCGUAGAAUCAUCUGUUGGAUGUCAUCUCAACUAGAAAGAGAUGUAAAUCAAGAUAGAUAAAAUUAUUUCAAUUACAUUUUGGAGAUCAUCACCAGCUAUUAAGUGUUUGAAUCCCCAUGGAGCAACUUUGGUCAAAUUAGCAUCAUUUUGAUUUUAGACUACAUGGAUAUCUGAAGUUAAUUUACUUUGAUCUUUUCUGGCUUUAUGUCUAACCAUUUUUUACUACUCAUGCAGGAAAGGGCAAAAGUCACUAAACUUACCAACACAUGUUACAAUUGAUGCUGGAAGAACACAGAUUGCUCCAAGUGAGUGACAGACUAUUUUUGUUCAGAUGCAGUACUUGUGCGGUUGUGCCAGAAAUGUUGAACUAAUGCCUGUAUUGUUUUUUAUGUUCAAUUUGUUGUGAGAAAUAAAAAGUUUAUUCCACGCUUUAAAGUCAUAGAGAGAAAAUGUUUUAUAUCCAUCCUUUUUUGUUACAAGAACUAUCUCCCUUGUCUAGAUUAUCUUCAUUGGCUAACAACAUUCAACUCAUUCCUAUUUUUCAGAUUCAAGAACAGUGAUGGCAGUCCUGGGUUAGUUUUUCGCGUCUCUUCUUUCUAAUACAUAAUAUUAGACGUCUAGACACAAUUAAAUUCUGAUUCAGAAGCAUGUAAUGAAAGCUUGCACCUAUCAUACCUUUCUGGAGAUUGCAUCUUCUGCCUAGACAAAAAAACAAAGCAAAUUUACGCACUAGCAACAAGUAAUAUAAUCCCCCUUCACAAUAGUCUGUCUGCCGUACAUUUGUUCUCUUUCAUUUGUGUGCAGGACCAGCUGACCUAGUUGAUGAUGUGACUGGUGGACUGAAACUUUUAUAGUUGCAUAAUCAGAAGGUUGAGAUUCCUUUGCUACGCCUACAUUAUUACUCAGCUUCAAACAGGAAAAUGCGGAUAAACUUCUUGAUGGUGAUGAUGAUGACAAAUUUAACAUGCAGACGGCGAUUUUAUCAGACAUUUUUAUUGUUGCUUCAAAAUUUUCAGGCAAAUGAACUGUAGAUUGUGACCUUACAUGCUGCUUGUUACCUUUAUUGUUUU
rnacentral:lncRNA from 1 species